AUGUACCUCGACGCAGGGCCACAUAAGCCCGUCCAUGCGCGCCGAGCUCGUGCUCUGGAUGGACGCCUUCGCCCGCACCUCGGCGGCCUCCCGGAGGGCACGCUCUGCCGCGCCGUCGCCUACCUCGACCGCGUCCUGUCCGUGCGCCCCGUGCCGGCCCACGACGAGGCGCUCCAACUCGUGGCCGCCGCCGCCGUCUCCCUCGGGGCCAAGCACGAGCAGUCCUCCAGCGGGCGGAGGCUCGACGCCCAAGUCGUCGAGGCGUUCCUGGGGACCACCGUGCACGUGGUGGAGGAGAUGGAGUGGGAGCUCUUCAUGGAUCUCGGCUGCGCCAUGGACGGCCUGACCGCGUACACCUUCGUCGACCACUUCACGAGGUUCUUCCAGCGGGAGGAUGAGCUCCUGGUGAGGUCCCUGGCGGUUCGGCUGGUCAACCUAAUGUUGGCGUCUUUCGGGUUCGUCGGACGGAUCCUGCCGUCCGCCAUGGCUGCAUCAGCGCUGUUCCUCGCCAAGCAGAUCCUCGGCGUGCCGUUGAGCCACGAUCUGGAGGAGGUGACGGGGUACAAGGCGGUGGACUUGAUGGGUUGCAUAUGCGCCAUAGAGUAG
rnacentral:rRNA from 1 species